GAUGAACGCUGGCGGCGUGCCUAAUACAUGCAAGUCGAGCGAACAGACGAGGAGCUUGCUCCUCUGACGUUAGCGGCGGACGGGUGAGUAACACGUGGAUAACCUACCUAUAAGACUGGGAUAACUUCGGGAAACCGGAGCUAAUACCGGAUAAUAUAUUGAACCGCAUGGUUCAAUAGUGAAAGACGGUUUUGCUGUCACUUAUAGAUGGAUCCGCGCCGCAUUAGCUAGUUGGUAAGGUAACGGCUUACCAAGGCAACGAUGCGUAGCCGACCUGAGAGGGUGAUCGGCCACACUGGAACUGAGACACGGUCCAGACUCCUACGGGAGGCAGCAGUGGGGAAUCUUCCGCAAUGGGCGAAAGCCUGACGGAGCACCGCCGCGUGAGUGAUGAAGGUCUUCGGAUCGUAAAACUCUGUUAUUAGGGAAGAACAAAUGUGUAAGUAACUAUGCACGUCUUGACGGUACCUAAUCAGAAAGCCACGGCUAACUACGUG
rnacentral:rRNA from 1 species